UACGUAGGGGGCAAGCGUUGUCCGGAUUUAUUGGGCGUAAAGAGCGUGUAGGCGGCCAUUCAGGUCAGCUGUGAAAACUCGAGGCUCAACCUCGAGACGUCGGUUGAAACCGUUUGGCUAGAGUCCGGAAGAGGAGAGUGGAAUUCCCGGUGUAGCGGUGAAAUGCGCAGAUAUCGGGAAGAACACCCGUGGCGAAAGCGGCUCUCUGGGACGGUACUGACGCUGAGACGCGAAAGCGUGGGGAGCGAACAGG
rnacentral:rRNA from 1 species